rnacentral:rRNA from 1 species
UACGUAGGGUGCGAGCGUUAAUCGGAAUUACUGGGCGUAAAGCGUGCGCAGGCGGUCUGUUAAGACCGAUGUGAAAUCCCCCGGCUCAACCGGGGAAUUGCGCCUGAUGCUGGCGGGCUAGAGGUCGAUAGGGGUGAGCGGAACUCCAGGUGGAGCGGUGAAAUGCGUAGAUAUCUGGAGGAACACCGGUGGCGAAAGCGGCUCACUGGAUCGAAACUGACGCUGAGGUGCGAAAGCUAGGGUAGCAAACGGG